CGCAGCGAACCGAUCUCAUUGAUGCUCGCGAUCCGCGACCGUGCGCCGCCGUCAACGCGAACAAUGGUGUCGCCCUCAAGGCAAAUGCCGUCGGCCACCGGAUGCUUCACCGACACGCGGAUCACAUUCUUGCCCGCGCGUGNCGCGAUCGGCGAUCGCCGCACACCAGUGAUCGUCAACACCGACGAUGGCGGUCCCGUUCCG
rnacentral:misc_RNA from 1 species